AUGACUUUGAUCUGCGUCCUCAUCUGGACUCUCCUCUGCUGCUGCUUCACAGAGUCCAGAGGCCAGGUCACAGUGACUCAGCCUGGAUCAGUGAGGUCUGGUCUGAGAGGAACCGUCACCAUCAACUGUAGAACCAGUCAGGAUGUUAAUUUUUGGAACAGUCAGUACCACGAUUUAGCCUGGUACCAACAGAGAGAUGGAGGAGUUCCUAAACUUCUCAUUUAUGAUGCUUAUCGUAGAGAAUCAGGGAUUCCAGGUCGUUUUUCAGGCAGUGGAUCAAACUCUGACUUCACUCUGACCAUCAGUGGAGUCCAGACUGAAGAUGCAGCAGUUUAUUACUGUCAGAGUCGUCACUACAUCAACAGUCAGCGUGUGUUCACACAGUGAAAAAGCGUCGUACAAAAACCUCCCUCAGUCAGACUGAACAG